AUUGAACGCUGGCGGAAUGCUUUACACAUGCAAGUCGAACGGCAGCACGGGGGCAGCCCUGGUGGCGAGUGGCGAACGGGUGAGUAAUACAUCGGAACGUGCCCGGUCGUGGGGGAUAACGUAGCGAAAGUUACGCUAAUACCGCAGACGAUCUGAGGAUGAAAGCGGGGGACCUUCGGGCCUCGCGCGAUCGGAGCGGCCGAUGGCAGAUUAGGUAGUUGGUGGGGUAAAGGCCUACCAAGCCGACGAUCUGUAGCUGGUCUGAGAGGACGACCAGCCACACUGGGACUGAGACACGGCCCAGACUCCUACGGGAGGCAGCAGUGGGGAAUUUUGGACAAUGGGCGCAAGCCUGAUCCAGCCAUUCCGCGUGCAGGACGAAGGCCUUCGGGUUGUAAACUGCUUUUGUACGGAACGAAAAGGCUCUGGCUAAUACCUGGGGCUCAUGACGGUACCGUAAGAAUAAGCACCGGCUAACUACGUG
rnacentral:rRNA from 1 species